rnacentral:rRNA from 1 species
GCCUCACUGACGCUGAAGCUCGAAGGUGCGGGUAUCGAACAGGAUUAGAUACCCUGGUAGUCCGCACGGUAAACGAUGGAUGCCCGCUGUGCGCCUGUUAUGGUGCGCGGCCAAGCGAAAGCGUUAAAGCAUCCCACCUGGGGGAGUACGCCGGCAACGGUGAAACUCAAAGGAAUUGACGGGGGCCCGCACAAGCGGAGGAACAUGUGGUUUAAUUCGAUGAUACGCGAGGAACCUUACCCGGGCUUGAAUUGCGGCGGAACGCGGGAGAGAUCCCGCGGCCUUCGGGCCGCCGUGAAGGUGCUGCAUGGUUGUCGUCAGCUCGUGCCGUGAGGUGUCGGCUUAAGUGCCAUAACGAGCGCAACCCCUCUCCGUAGUUGCCAUCGGGUUAAGCCGGGCACUCUGCGGACACUGCCACCGCAAGGUGCGAGGAAGGUGGGGACGACGUCAAAUCAGCACGGCCCUUACGUCCGGGGCUACACACGUGUUACAAUGGGGCAUACAGAGCGCCGGCCGCCGGCAACGUCGGUCCAAUCGUCAAAGUGCCCCUCAGUUCGGACUGGGGUCUGCAACCCGACCCCACGAAGCUGGAUUCGCUAG